rnacentral:rRNA from 1 species
CAGUAGCCGCGGUAAAACGGAGGGUGCAAGCGUUAAUCGGAAUUACUGGGCGUAAAGCGCACGCAGGCGGUCUGACAAGUCAGAUGUGAAAUCCCCGGGCUUAACCUGGGAACUGCAUUUGAAACUGUCAGGCUGGAGUCUUGUAGAGGGGGGUGGAAUUCCAGGUGUAGCGGUGAAAUGCGUAGAGAUCUGGAGGAAUACCGGUGGCGAAGGCGGCCCCCUGGACAAAGACUGACGCUCAGGUGCGAAAGCGUGGGGAGCAAACAGGAUUAGAUACCCCUGUAGUCCCUGUCUCUUAUAA